GCCAUCUCCCUCAGAUGUAACCCACUCUCUAGCAUUUUUUUUUCCUUUCAGAGCCUUAUAUUCUUCUUACUACCUCUUCUGCUGGCAUUUUCAGUGCUCAGGUUUGUCUCACAGCUGCCUUCACAAGCUGCCGAUAUUGGGAAAGCUCUUCAGUUUCUCAGGAAAGUCAUCUUUAUACAGAACAGGGUCAGCACGGUGCUCCACCACUUUCAGAGGCAUGGUCCCAAAGACAGAGGCAAACUUAUUGAUGCAUUCAGAUCUUUCCACCAUGUGUGUCUGGUCCAGUGAUAACCCAUCGAUUGCUGUGCAUUCUGGACAUUUGAACUUCUUUCGUGGGGUCACCUUGAUGACUGAUUUACCAGUGACAUUUGCCACUAGGAAAUUCAUGGCAAUAUCUUCACAGUUCAUAUGGGCAUCCACCCAAUUCUUGAUAUCUCCAGGCAUUUUGUAGGUGUAAAGAUAGUUGAAAUACUUGUGAUAAAAUGCUGCCCCAGUGAGCACCAUUGAG
rnacentral:lncRNA from 1 species